CCUACGGGAGGCAGCAGUGGGGAAUAUUGCGCAAUGGGCGGAAGCCUGACGCAGCGACGCCGCGUGGGGGAUGACGGCCUUCGGGUUGUAAACCUCUUUCAGCAGGGACGAAGCGAAAGUGACGGUACCUGCAGAAGAAGCACCGGCCAACUACGUGCCAGCAGCCGCGGUAAUACGUAGGGUGCAAGCGUUGUCCGGAAUUAUUGGGCGUAAAGAGCUCGUAGGCGGUUCGUCGCGUCGGCUGUGAAAACCCGGAGCUCAACUCCGGGCCUGCAGUCGAUACGGGCGGACUUGAGUUCGGCAGGGGAGACUGGAAUUCCUGGUGUAGCGGUGAAAUGCGCAGAUAUCAGGAGGAACACCGGUGGCGAAGGCGGGUCUCUGGGCCGAUACUGACGCUGAGGAGCGAAAGCGUGGGGAGCGAACAGGAUUAGAUACCCUGGUAGUCCACGCCGUAAACGUUGGGCGCUAGGUGUGGGGGCCAUUCCACGGUCUCCGUGCCGCAGCUAACGCAUUAAGCGCCCCGCCUGGGGAGUACGGCCGCAAGGCUAAAACUCAAAGGAAUUGACGGGGGCCCGCACAAGCGGCGGAGCAUGUUGCUUAAUUCGAUGCAACGCGAAGAACCUUACCUAGGCUUGACAUGCACGGAAAUCUCGCAGAGAUGCGGGGUCCGUAAGGGCCGUGCACAGGUGGUGCAUGGUUGUCGUCAGCUCGUGUCGUGAGAUGUUGGGUUAAGUCCCGCAAUGAGCGCAACCCUCGUUCCAUGUUGCCAGCGGAUUAUGCCGGGGACUCAUGGGAGACUGCCGGGGUCAACUCGGAGGAGGGUGGGGGAUGACGUCAAAUCAUCAUGCCCCUUAUGUCUAGGGCUGCAAACAUGCUACAAUGGCCCGGUACAAAGGGCUGCGAUACCGUGAGGUGGAGCGAAUCCCAAAAAGCCGGUCC
rnacentral:rRNA from 1 species